rnacentral:misc_RNA from 1 species
CCGUCGUUGUGCGGCCGACUACCGGCGCCUUGUCCCGUCACUAUUGUGGCAUUGUCCCGCUGGAUUGAAAGUGCUUGCGUGCUAGUACCCGACCUACGGGAAGUGGUGCUUCGUAUAAUUGUUGCCUCGUGGUGGACGCCCUCUGGGUGUGCCACUGCGGCCAAAUAGCGCUUGCGGCGUUGCCUCAUGGUGCUGGCAUGUAACAUGCCUGCUGCUAUCAYGGCAACCUCGCUCCCGCUGUUGGUCUCGGAUGCUGCUCACGAUAAAGGCUCGUGGCCCUUUUGGUUGCCUCGAUCCGACCCAAAGCUCUCCGAAAUGACGACAACCGGAACAGGUGUUGCCUCUACCUCUCCACAGUUACGUGGUAGGAUACGCAACUCUCCGCGCCGACCCUCAUGGAGGAUGAGCUAUGCCCGCUCAAAAGCGACAACCGGYCCGGCUGUUGCCUCUACCUUUCCACGCAAGUGGAAGCGCAARGCAACUCCCGACGCUGGACGUCAMCGAGGACGUGCUACCUGGUUGAUCCUGCCAGUAGUCA